GGCACUUGUAAGCUUGAAAUGUACACCAGAAAAAACCUGACUGCACAGUAUCCAAUUAUUGACCUGACACAUUUGAAAUCUCUUUUGCAAUUCAGAAAUGUUUCCCCCAUAAAUAAGUGCAAGUGGUUUCGAUACACUUGUAGUUUUUGUUGACAACCUACCCAUGUUCCAUUCUCAGCCAAUUAAGAAAGCCUAUAGAUUUCAUGGGGUUAAGUGUGCUGUUUAUAACACAAAAGAAUAAUGCCGGAUUUAGCAGCACAAGAGCCUAAAUCAAUCUAAAAUUGCAGUGCAAUCUAAGCACCACAGUAGCCUCUAUUCAAUUAAAGUCCAUUCGCCAUGCUAGAUUAAUGCCAAGAAAUGGCAAUAAGCUAAAACCACAUGGAAAAGAAAAUGUGUCAAUACUAUUAUACUUUCGCAGACAUGGAACUUUAGUUUUUCAUUAUAGCUUGACUGAACCAGGGCCGCCGUUCUAUCCCAUAACACUUUUUAUGUUCCCAAAGGAGAUUGCAGACUACAUGCCCAAGAGGAAUAUAGAGUAACUCUGACACGUAUCUAGCAGCCUGGUCUCAUAGUGGCGGCAGAUGUGUGAACCUCAUGAUGUGAAUGAUCUCCGGCAGCACCUGGUACUCCCAUGGAUAAAUGUGGUGCAUUAAAAGGACGAUGGCAGGAGAUUCUCGGAAAAAGAUUUACAGCUAUCAAUCACGCCUUAAUGCCCUGAAUCAGAGAUGUGAAGGGCGACCUCAUUAAUGAGGAACCAAUCAAGAUUUGACAGGUAGCAUAUUUUAGAUGAUUCAUUUGAAAUAGUGUGUGUUUCAAAAAAUGACUGACUGUUUCUGACUUUUUGUAUUGCCUUUUGUUCCUCUUUCUACAGUGAAGCUUAGACACAGAACUCUGAAAGAGAAUGAUGACCCCUGGGAAGAGAAUUUGGCUGCCCUUGUGCUGAUGCAGUGCUGAAUCAUGAUCCCUGCCCGGUCUUUCCGCAUGGAGCCCAGGCACCAUGACAAUAAGAUAGCGUCGUCAGCUCAGACAUCUAGUUUUCAAGUGCAAGUCCACUACCUGGAGGGCCAGGAUGUUCGAGAGAUGAAAACAUGGACAAAACAAUACAUGAUGUGGAGAGAAUUAUCUGGCCACUGUGGGAAGCAGAAAGAAACAACACAACAAGAUCAACAAAUGUUCAAGUCACUUCCUCUGCGCCAGGAACUUUUCCUGAUGUGAAGGGUGAGAUUAUGGUUAAGCGCAAAUGUGUUCUGUCGAACUGUGAUGGGCAGGUUGCUGCAAACAGCAAUUUAAGUCAUGGUUUCUGAUAGGGAGCUGGGAAAAGCAGGAAAGUUUUUGACAAUUUUCACUUUUGGUAAUAGUUUGGUUGGGAUAAAAUUGUGAGAGUCAAAGUGAGCACUCAUGGAUACACAUGAAAUACAUAUUAAUGUUCCGCUGUUAAUAUGUGUGAGGGUUAAGCAAAACUCAGGAUGAAUUUUUGAAAUGUCAUGGAUUGUAUGGUCAAGAAUCAUUUGCACACAUCUGCAGCCAAAACUAAACUAAAGUUUACUUGGCUGAUUUACUCUACGUGCAGUGAUUACAGAUUAAUCAUCAGACAAACACUGAGCCACAAAUCACCUUGAAUGAAAAGCAUGAACCAGCAAAACUGUGCAAGAAAGAGUGAAUGAGAGAACACAUUACAAUAAAAUCCAAAUGUCACUUCA
ensembl:lncRNA